UACGAGUGCCCCAAGCGUUAUCCGGAAUUAUUGGGCGUAAAGCGUGCGUAGACGGUUUCGUAAGUCGGGUGUGAAAUCCCCGGGCUCAGCCUGGGAAUUGCAUUCGAAACUGCGAGGCUAGGGUACGGAAGAGGGAAGCGGAAUUUCUGGUGUAGCGGUGAAAUGCGUAGAUAUCAGAAGGAACAUCAGUGGCGAAAGCGGCUUCCUGGUCCAGUACCGACGUUCAGGCACGAAAGCGUGGGGAGCAAACAGG
rnacentral:rRNA from 1 species